GAAAGAUGCCUGAAAAAAGGAUCAUUUUGAUGUAAUGAAUUAUGUUUUUUUAAAAAACUCUUUCUAU
rnacentral:tRNA from 1 species